rnacentral:tRNA from 1 species
GCCUGCUUAGCUCAGCGGUAGAGCGUCGCACUUGUAAUGCGAUGGUCAUCGGUUCGAUCCCGAUAGCCGGCC